rnacentral:rRNA from 1 species
GAUGAACGCUAGCGAUAGGCCUAACACAUGCAAGUCGAGGGGCAUCACAUGAAGUAGCAAUACGGAUGGUGGCGACCGGCGCACGGGUGAGUAACACGUAUGCAACCUGCCUUCAACAAGGGGAUAACCCGUUGAAAGACGGACUAAUACCCUAUAACACAGGGGUCUCGCAUGGGGAUAUUUGUUAAAGGACAACCGGUUGAAGAUGGGCAUGCGUUCCAUUAGCUAGUUGGCGGGGUAAGGGCCCACCAAGGCAACGAUGGAUAGGGGAACUGAGAGGUUUAUCCCCCACACUGGUACUGAGACACGGACCAGACUCCUACGGGAGGCAGCAGUGAGGAAUAUUGGUCAAUGGACGCAAGUCUGAACCAGCCACGUCGCGUGAAGGAAGACGGCCCUACGGGUUGUAAACUUCUUUUGCAAGGGAAUAAAGUGGGCCACGUGUGGCCUUUUGCAAGUACCUUGCGAAUAAGGAUCGGCUAACUCCGUGCCAGCAGCCGCGGUAAUUACGC